AGAGUUUGAUCCUGGCUCAGAACGAACGCUGGCGGCAGGCCUAAUACAUGCAAGUAGAGCGGGCGUAGCAAUACGUCAGCGGCGGACGGGUGAGUAACACGUGGGAACAUGCCCUUCGGUACGGAACAACUCAGGGAAACUUGAGCUAAUACCGUAUGCGCCGGCAACGGGAAAGAUUUAUCGCCGAAGGAUUGGCCCGCGUCCGAUUAGCUAGUUGGUGAGGUAACGGCCCACCAAGGCACCGAUCGGUAGCUGGUUUGAGAGAACGACCAGCCACACUGGGACUGAGACACGGCCCAGACUCCUACGGGAGGCAGCAGUAGGGAAUCUUGGACAAUGGGGGAAACCCUGAUCCAGCCAUGCCGCGUGAGUGAUGAAGGCCUUCGGGUUGUAAAACUCUUUCGGCGGGGACGAUAAUGACGGUACCCGCAGAAGAAGCUCCGGCUAACUUCGUGCCAGCAGCCGCGGUAAUACGAAGGGGGCUAGCGUUGUUCGGAAUUACUGGGCGUAAAGCGCGCGCAGGCGGCCUUUCAAGUCAGGGGUGAAAGCCCGGAGCUCAACUCCGGAAUUGCCUUUGAAACUGUCAGGCUCGAGUACGGGAGAGGUGAGUGUAAUUCCCAGUGUAGAGGUGAAAUUCGUAGAUAUUGGGAAGAACACCGGUGGCGAAGCGGCUCACUGGCCCGUUUCUGACGCUCAGCGCGACAGCGUGGGAUCAAACAGGAUUAGAUACCCUGGUAGUCCACGCCGUAACUAUGAACGCUAGCCGUUGGCAGGCUUGCCUGUCAGUGGCACAGCUACGCAUUAAGCGUUCGGCCUGGGGAGUACGCCGCAGGUUGAACUCAAAGGAAUUGACGGGUGCCCGCACAAGCGUGAGCAUGGGUUUAAUCGA
rnacentral:rRNA from 1 species